GCCGAGGUGGUGAAAUUGGUAGACACACAAGUUUCAGGUAUUUGUGGGGGCAACUCCGUAGAGGUUCAAAUCCUCUCCUCGGUA
rnacentral:tRNA from 1 species